GGAUCAAUGGUGAUAUCCCCUUUAUCAUUUUUAUUGUGUCUAUUUGACUCUUGUCUCUUUUCUUCUUUAUUAGUCUGGCUAGCAGUAUACCUAUUUUGUUUAUGUUUCCAAAAUACUAGCUGCUGGAUUCAUUGAUUUUUUUGAAAGGUUUUUUAUAUCUCUAUCUCCUUCAGUCUGCUCUGACCUUAGUUAUUUCUUGUCUUCUGCUAGCUUUUGAAUUUGGUCUUGCUUCCCUAGUUCUUUUAAUUGUGAUGUUAGAGUGUUAAUUUUAAAUCUUUUUUGCUUUCUCCUGUGGGCAUUUAGGGCUGUAAAUUUCCCUAUAAACACUGCUUUAGGUGUGUCCCAGAUUCUGUUAUGUUGUGCCUUUGUUCUCACAGGUUUCAAAAACUUAUUAAUUUCUGCAUUAAUUUCAUUAUUUACCCAGUGGUCAAUCAGGAGCAGGUUGUCCAGUUUCCAUGUAGUUGUGUGGUUUUGAAUGAAUUUCUUAAUCCUGAGUUCUUAUU